rnacentral:rRNA from 1 species
UUUCCGUAGGUGAACAUGCGGAAGGAUCAUUA